UACGAAGGGGGCUAGCGUUGCUCGGAAUCACUGGGCGUAAAGGGUGCGUAGGCGGGUCUUUUAAGUCAGGGGUGAAAUCUGGAGCUCAACUCCAGAACUGCCUUUGAUACUGAAGAUCUUGAGUUCGGGAGAGGUGAGUGGAACUGCGAGUGUAGAGGUGAAAUUCGUAGAUAUUCGCAAGAACACCAGUGGCGAAGGCGGCUCACUGGCCCGAUACUGACGCUGAGGCACGAAAGCGUGGGGAGCAAACAGG
rnacentral:rRNA from 1 species